AGCAGCCGCGGUAAUUCCAGCUCCAAUAGCGUAUAUUAAAGUUGUUGCAGUUAAAAAGCUCGUAGUUGAAUUUCGGGGUUAGUAGAUUGGUCGUGCCACUGGUAUGUACUGGUCUUACUGGCUCCUCCUUCCUGAUGAACCGUAAUGCCAUUAAUUUGGUGUUGCGGGGAAACUGGACUGUUACUUUGAAAAAAUUAGAGUGUUUAAAGCAGGCUAACGCUUGAAUACAUUAGCAUGGAAUAAUGAAAUAGGACGUUCGAUCUUAUUUUGUUGGUUUCUAGGAUUGACGUAAUGAUUAAUAGGGAUAGUUGGGGGCAUUAGUAUUCAAUUGUCAGAGGUGAAAUUCUUGGAUUUAUUGAAGACUAACUACUGCGAAAGCAUUUGCCAAGGAUGUUUUCAUUAAUCAAGAACGAAAGUUAGGGGAUCGAAGACGAUCAGAUACCGUCGUAGUCUUAACCAUAAACUAUGCCGACUAGGGAUCGGAUGAUGUUAAUUUUUAAUGACUCAUUCGGCGCCUUAC
rnacentral:rRNA from 1 species